ACAUCGAGCAGUGAAGUCGUAGAGCGCGCGGAAGAGUCGGGCGCGUGGGGCUGGGAAGCUACAAGGUUCAACGGCAGCUGGUUGCUCCGGCACUGGGUUGUCGUCCUGUCCCUGGAUCCUGGGGAUGUCUUCCUCCGACUCACCCGCUGGCCAUAUCUUAUCCCAGAAAAAGGACAAGAAAGUGAGCCGCUUCCGGAGGAAGGGCUCCAUGCCUAGGGGGCCUGGUUGCGGACGAAGGCGCAUGGAGCAGACUCUGGAUAAAAAUAUAAGCUCUCAGCUACUGCUCCAGCACCAGGCCUGCUGCCCGCACUCCACACCAUGACAGUCACGGACUCACUCUUUGAAACUUUCCAGGUCUUCUGGCAUUCUCACACUGGUGUGCCUGCAAGCAAAACACUGAUGAACAUAAAAUAAAGAAUUAAAAAGAAAGAAAUGGGGGCUGAGGAGAUGGCUCAGCGGUUAAGAACACCAACUGCUCUUCCAGAGGUCCUGAGUUCAAUUCCCAGCAACAGCACGGUGGCUCACAGCCAUCUGUAAUAGGAUCCGAUGCCCUCUUCUGGUGUGUCAGUGACAGUGUGCUCAUAUACACUAAAUAAAUCUUUAAAAAAGAAACCAGAAAGAAAAAA